UACAGAGGGUGCGAGCGUUGUCCGGAAUCGACUGGGCGUAAAGGCGCGUAGGCGGCCUGGCAAGUCGGUGGUGAAAGCUCAGAGCUCAACUCUGAGUCGGCCAUCGAUACUGCUAUGGCUCGAGUCGACUGAGAGGCAGAUGGAAUUCCGGGUGUAGCGGUGGAAUGCGUAGAGAUCCGGAAGAACACCGGUGGCGAAGGCGGUCUGCUGGGGUCGAACU
rnacentral:rRNA from 1 species